GAUGAACGCUGGCGGCGUGCCUAAUACAUGCAAGUCGAGCGAAUGGAUUAAGAGCUUGCUCUUAUGAAGUUAGCGGCGGACGGGUGAGUAACACGUGGGUAACCUGCCCAUAAGACUGGGAUAACUCCGGGAAACCGGGGCUAAUACCGGAUAACAUUUUGAACCGCAUGGUUCGAAAUUGAAAGGCGGCUUCGGCUGUCACUUAUGGAUGGGCCCGCGUCGCAUUAGCUAGUUGGUGAGGUAACGGCUCACCAAGGCAACGAUGUUUAGCCGACCUGGGAGGUGGAUGGGCCAACCUGGGGAUGGGAAACGGCCCAGACUCCUACGGGAGGCAGCAGUAGGGAAUCUUCCGCAAUGGACGAAAGUCUGACGGAGCAACGCCGCGUGAGUGAUGAAGGCUUUCGGGUCGUAAAACUCUGUUGUUAGGGAAGAACAAGUGCUAGUUGAAUAAGCUGGCACCUUGACGGUACCUAACCAGAAAGCCACGGCUAACUACGUGCCAGCCGCCGCGGUAA
rnacentral:rRNA from 1 species